rnacentral:rRNA from 1 species
UACGUAGGGUGCAAGCGUUGUCCGGAAUUAUUGGGCGUAAAGAGCUCGUAGGCGGUCUGUCGCGUCUGCUGUGAAAACCUAGGGCUUAACUCUGGGCGUGCAGUGGGUACGGGCAGGCUAGAGUGCGGUAGGGGUAGACUGGAAUUCCUGGUGUAGCGGUGAAAUGCGCAGAUAUCAGGAGGAACACCGGUGGCGAAGGCGGGUCUCUGGGCCGUAACUGACGCUGAGGAGCGAAAGCAUGGGGAGCAACAGG